rnacentral:rRNA from 1 species
UUUAUGGAGAGUUUGAUCCUGGCUCAGGAUGAACGCUGGCGGCGUGCCUAAUACAUGCAAGUCGAGCGAACGGACGAGAAGCUUGCUUCUCUGAUGUUAGCGGCGGACGGGUGAGUAACACGUGGAUAACCUACCUAUAAGACUGGGAUAACUUCGGGAAACCGGAGCUAAUACCGGAUAAUAUUUUGAACCGCAUGGUUCAAAAGUAAAAGACGGUCUUGCUGUCACUUAUAGAUGGAUCCGCGCUGCAUUAGCUAGUUGGUAAGGUAACGGCUUACCAAGGCAACGAUGCAUAGCCGACCUGAGAGGGUGAUCGGCCACACUGGAACUGAGACACGGUCCAGACUCCUACGGGAGGCAGCAGUAGGGAAUCUUCCGCAAUGGGCGAAAGCCUGACGGAGCAACGCCGCGUGAGUGAUGAAGGUCUUCGGAUCGUAAAACUCUGUUAUUAGGGAAGAACAUAUGUGUAAGUAACUGUGCACAUCUUGACGGUACCUAAUCAGAAAGCCACGGCUAACUACGUGCCAGCAGCCGCGGUAAUACGUAGGUGGCAAGCGUUAUCCGGAAUUAUUGGGCGUAAAGCGCGCGUAGGCGGUUUUUUAAGUCUGAUGUGAAAGCCCACGGCUCAACCGUGGAGGGUCAUUGGAAACUGGAAAACUUGAGUGCAGAAGAGGAAAGUGGAAUUCCAUGUGUAGCGGUGAAAUGCGCAGAGAUAUGGAGGAACACCAGUGGCGAAGGCGACUUUCUGGUCUGUAACUGACGCUGAUGUGCGAAAGCGUGGGGAUCAAACAGGAUUAGAUACCCUGGUAGUCCACGCCGUAAACGAUGAGUGCUAAGUGUUAGGGGGUUUCCGCCCCUUAGUGCUGCAGCUAACGCAUUAAGCACUCCGCCUGGGGAGUACGACCGCAAGGUUGAAACUCAAAGGAAUUGACGGGGACCCGCACAAGCGGUGGAGCAUGUGGUUUAAUUCGAAGCAACGCGAAGAACCUUACCAAAUCUUGACAUCCUUUGACAACUCUAGAGAUAGAGCCUUCCCCUUCGGGGGACAAAGUGACAGGUGGUGCAUGGUUGUCGUCAGCUCGUGUCGUGAGAUGUUGGGUUAAGUCCCGCAACGAGCGCAACCCUUAAGCUUAGUUGCCAUCAUUAAGUUGGGCACUCUAAGUUGACUGCCGGUGACAAACCGGAGGAAGGUGGGGAUGACGUCAAAUCAUCAUGCCCCUUAUGAUUUGGGCUACACACGUGCUACAAUGGACAAUACAAAGG